rnacentral:lncRNA from 1 species
UUAAAUUUAAGAUAUUUCAUGUGCUUAACAAUGUUUUACAAUAUUUUCGUCUUCAUCCCUAGAGCUAACAUUUGAAAAGACUUCUCGCAAGACUAUAUUAAUCACAACAUUGAUUGCUAUGAUUUAUCAUGUACCAUGGUUCCGGACCUCGACAUUGUUCUGCCCAAGCUAAUUUCAACACAAGGUUAAAGCCAUAUCACAUCAGGGCCAGCCUAAGGGACUGCCACUACGGUAAGAGUUUUAGACUCCAAAUUUUUUAGGUUCUGUAUUAGAUCUUAUUUUUUUGGCAAUAAAUAUAUUUUUGUAUGUCAAAUUUUAUAAACAUGCACAUCCGUAACUCAAAUGAUAUUUAAAUGAAGAAUCAUAAUUUAUGUCGUAAGUUCGAUUCCAAUACUAACUAUUUUAAAUGAGGAUAGAGUCUCUCACAAUAUGAUGAAACAAAGUUUGAUUUCCAACCAAAAAAUGCUCAUAUUGAUUGGGGAAAUUCUAAAAAAAAUCUUAAUAUUUGUGUUAUUAUCUCUAAACAUACAAAAAAUGGUCUCUAUUUAAAUUUUAUUCUAUGCUUAAAAAGACAUUGGGUCGACCCUAACUCACAUGCCAACAUAAUUAUAUUGAUAUCAAUUUCAUUCACCAUGGUUCAUGAACAAAAACAUAGAAACAUAUAUAAAUCAGAAUUUUUUUAAUUCUACUAGUAUCACAAAGAAAUCAAGUCAGACAUUGAUUUGCUUAAAGAGAUGAUGCUCUGCCAUAGCAGACAGCCAGACACGCAUGCAUAAAAUUGCUACAUGACAAUAACAAACCCAUAUCAAAAGUACUCCUCCACAAAUGAAUAAUAUAGUGGCUCAUAAACUAACCUAGGAGAAGAAAGAACAAAGUUAAGAGUACGAAUGGUCAUUCAUAUGUCUUUCAAUCUAUUAUUCACAAGACUCAACUUGGCAUUGCAUUAUCUAAAUCGAUUUGACUAAUCAGUUUUCUAAAGCAAAUUGACUAAUUCCACCUAUCACAUCAAGCACUAUUUUGAUUUCUUCUUUAAGAUGUAUAUUAAGAUUUUAAUUUCAAUUUAGUGGAGCUUGUUGGCCACUGUUGACUAUGAUACCAAUACUUGAAUUAAGGAAACAGUGACGGAUUAUGCAGUCCAAAUCAGGCAACUAUACUAAUCCAUAUGUGAUUUUUUUAUUUUUAUUUUUUUUAUCUUUUUUUUCCUACCUUCACCAAAAGAAAAAACUAAUCAUUGUGUAAUGACAAUUGACAAAUCCGCCCCUUUAUUUAGUGAGUUAAGUAAAAUAUUAAAAUUGAUGGCAUUUUUUUUAAAUCUCGAUAUCUGAUCUAAGAUUGACUAAUUCGUAUGGAUCAAUCCAACCAUCACUUGCGAUGGCCCAUUUAAAUGCUUAUGUAGAACUUGUCCAUCAAAAUUGACAUCGAAAAAAAUCGAAUCUGAGAUCUUGAGACGAGGAUACUUUAAAAUCUCAGGUCAAUCAGUAAACCCAUAAGAAUUAAAAUUGAGGGCAUUUUAAAUAGGAAAGUAGUCAAAAUAGUUUAUUCAGCGCACAUAUCCUCGCACAAAGUCGUUGGUGAGUUAAGUAAUGAAAUUAAUUGAUAAUAGUCCGAAACUAAAAAAAUAAAAGAAAAAAAAUGUGAAUUUAGAUGCUUCUUAAAAGCUGAAAUUACAAUAUCUUGAAGAGAAAAAAAAAGGAUUAGCAGAUAUUAUUAGGGGAAAAUGUUGGGAUUGGGUGCUUCAUGAAUUUAGUAUCGGUAUUAUGCGAGAUUAGUCACUUUAGUCCUUGAAUAAGAAAGAAGUCCUCAUUUUAGUCCAUAAAUGCAGAUAAAUUGAAAAAUAAUCUUUGAAUGUAGAUUAUAUGAUAGUCAAUUUAGUAUCUGAAUGCAAACUCGUUAGUCAAUUUAGUCCAUAAAUGUAGACUCUGUUAGUCAAUUGAAACUGACUAACAAAGUCUACAUUCAAGGAUUGUUUUGCAAUUUCUCUGCAUUCAGGGAAUAAAGUGACUACUUUUUUCCUAUCCAGAGACUAAAGUGACUAAUUCCCUAUUUUUCAUUUAAUAUGAUAUAUCUAGUUGUAUCCGACUUUUAUAUGAGUAGAAAUUAAACUUAGUUUUUUUCAAGAAAUUAAACAUAGUCGGGGUUUUUCAAGAAAUUAAACAUAGUCGGGGUGAUUUAAGAAAUUAAACAUAGUUGCUAUUCGGGAAAACAAAAUUAAACGUUUAUCAACCACUUAACUAAGAUAUUAAAGGGUAUAUAAAAGGAUUAAUAGAUCUUUAUCCCGGUAAUAUAUGUCAUUUUCAAUUUUCCUCCCUAUAAUUUUUUUUUUAUUUACCCCCUGAAAAAAAAAAUUGUUUUGAUUUACCUCCCUAAUAGGCCAAACAAAAACCAAAUAUAUUUUUUUUUUCAAGAAAUUUUCGUUUUUGUUUGGCCUAUUAGGGGGGUAAAUCAAAACAAUUUUUUUUACAAGGGGUAAAUAAAAAAAAAAUUAUAGGGAGGAAAACCUAAAAUGAUCUAUAUUAGAGGGGAUAAAGACCUAUUAAUCAUAUAUAAAACAACCACAAAAAAACGUUUGAGCACAAGAAGUGCAAAGAGUCUAUCCAAGAUCAAGGUUUAGAGUUUAGAUACACCGUACAAAGCUUCAAAAUAGGCGAAUAAAACAAGCAGCAAAAAAGAAAGGACAAACUAAAAAUAUUGAAGUUUCACCCUUUCACAUAACGCCCGACACCUUUCUUCUUUCCUUUGAAACACUCUAAUGUUACACUCUUUUCAAAUUACCCAAACAACAACAUAUAGCCAAAUAAUGUUCAUUGAUUAUGUAUCUGCUUUCGAGAAACCCCGUUAGCCGUCAAACUAAAGUAAGUGAUUAAAAAAAGAGUCAUGAAAGACCGUAGAAAAACCCAACCAAUCUGAAACUAGCUGCCACGCAUCGAAGACACCGCAAUUUAGAAAUAAUUGGUCUGUGUCUUCAUUAGAACCACAAUUAACACAAAAAAUAGGCCCAAAAAAUAUGAUUUUACAUUAGCUUUAUUUUUAUUUUUUAUCAUAUUUCUAAAUUAUCGUACUAAUUUUUCUUUAUCAUAUUUCUAAAUUGUCCUACCAUUAUUGUUUUGAAAUUCAAUCUAGGAGCAAAGAACCACGGCAGAUUAUGUACGAAGUACAAACCGAAAAAAUUAGGCAAAGAACCACGGCAGAUUAUGUACAUAGUACAACCUGAAAAAAUUAGACUAAAGUUAAAUAUGUACCAUCUUAUCAUUGUUGCUUAUGAUUUGAGCAAAUGCAAAUCAAAGAUAUUGUAAAUCCUAAUUUCCGAUGCCCGAGUAGUUUAGUACUUAUGUACCAUCGAAUUAUGUUUACACACGAAAAAAGAUUAAGCAAAAAUUUAGAUGAAGAAUUUAAUUAAUAUACACUUUUUUUUUUCUUCUUUUUUUGUCAAGUAGUCUAGUGGUUAGAACUCACACAAUUUAAUUGCGGAGAAGUGGGGUGUCCGGGGAUCAAAUCUGCAUAUAAUAUGCAAUAUCCCUAUCAACUGAGCUAAGCUCAUGGGAAUAAUAUACACCUUAUUCUACAUAUGACUUAUUAUAUUUAUUAAGUGACGUGAUAACAUAUGAAUCGGUAAAAUAAUUGUACACAGUAUACUAAUAAAAUUCAUUUACCUAUUGUCACGUAUAGUAAAGCUUGACAAUUAUUUUAUGGAUUUACCUAUUAAUUAAGUAUGAUUUUCUUGAUGCUAAGGAUGCUAGCACUUAAUUUUUCUUAUGUUAUUCCAACAUGUAUGGAUGCAAUGAUUUCAUCAUUGGAAAGAAUUUGAUGAACUUAUGGAUGCAACGAUUUUAUGAAAAUGGAAGAUAUUACGGCGGUGAAAUUCGAGGUGGAGGUGACGGCCGAUGAUGGUAAGUGUAACUGUAAUAUGUAAACACAUCGACAC